AAAAACUUAAAAUAGUUUUUAAGAUUUAAUUUGUUGCGUUUUUCCUUUUAAUUUGAUAGGACAUUGUAGAGAGUCAGGACGCUAAAUGGGAGAGAGAAGAGGACGAGUCGAGAAAGAUCCUUGACAUAUUCACACAAUGGCGCUCAGCAGGAGACACAGACGAGGCAGAUGAUGAAGAGGAUGAGGAGGAAACCUCCUCCCCCUGUCAGGAUCACCAGCGUCCACCAUAAAUCCAAGCCAAAGAGAUAUUUCUUCUCAGACUUAUCUAAGAAAGGAUACAAAUAAAGUGAAUUAUCAACAAUA